GGGAAAGUGGCUCAGUGGUAGAGUGCUUGCCUUGCAUGCAUGAAGCCUGGGUUCAAUUCCUCAGCACCA
rnacentral:tRNA from 1 species